AUUGAACGCUGGCGGCAUGCCUUACACAUGCAAGUCGAACGGCAGCACGGGAGCUUGCUCCUGGUGGCGAGUGGCGAACGGGUGAGUAAUACAUCGGAACGUACCCUGAAGUGGGGGAUAACGUAGCGAAAGUUACGCUAAUACCGCAUAUUCUGUGAGCAGGAAAGAGGGGGAUCGCAAGACCUCUUGCUUUAGGAGCGGCCGAUGUCGGAUUAGCUAGUUGGUGAGGUAAAGGCUCACCAAGGCGACGAUCCGUAGCGGGUCUGAGAGGAUGAUCCGCCACACUGGGACUGAGACACGGCCCAGACUCCUACGGGAGGCAGCAGUGGGGAAUUUUGGACAAUGGGCGCAAGCCUGAUCCAGCCAUGCCGCGUGAGUGAAGAAGGCCUCGGGUUCGG
rnacentral:rRNA from 1 species